CUCAGGCCCAACUAAGUGAAUAUCUGGGCCAGCCCACCAAGCAGAGAGCCCUGCCCAGACGAGCGCCGGCAGAGUGUAAGGAGAGCGCAGGACAGGCGGGGAAGGAGACGGCGUGACCAGCACAGGUGAGCCACGCAGCUGGAGACCUUAGCAGUUCUUAUUUAUAUUCACUGUGUAUUCUUUCCUUUUUAUUCUCUGCUAUAUUAUGUACAGACCCCAAGUUGUAGCUAAUGUCUUAUGCUUCAGGCAGAAGGGUGUCUGUCUCGGUAUCCCCCAUGAUGGUAUGUCAGCUUUGGGGAUAUUCUGUGUUUCCUAUAUUAAGAACAUGGAUUUCUCACUGGGUGAAGUUCCAGGGUGGAGGCAAGGGACCAAAGGAACAUAUUGUAUGGAGACCUUCCAAUGCCGCUCCAGAACCACUGUCUGCCCUUCUCCCCCUGCUGCGUGCCCUAAGAGGCUGACCCAUAGCACUGAGCCUUUGACCUCUGGCUUCCAGUUGAGUUUAGACAAGAGGGAGCAUUAACAAGAAAUCAGAGAGAGAGGGCGAGGGCAGCGAGGGAGGCACAUCUUUAUUCUCCCGGUUUCUCCCUGCGGGGCUGCCGGGCCUAGCAACCUACCUUCCUGGGGUGAUGGGCCCCUCCAGACAGCCCACUUCUCCUGAUUCUGAGUCCAAGAAAUGAGCAAGCAAUGGAAAAGUUACAGAAAAGCUAGCAGAGAAGGAAGCCGAGCAUCGCCUGCCCCCAGUCAUGGGCUCUGUGUGAAGCAGUGUGGAGUGUGAAAUGGAUGUCAAAGGACAUUUGGAGCUUCGAUUUACAGGGGGGCAAGAAAAAAUGACCCCAAAUUUGGGGGUUGAAAGACAACAGGCAAAGAAUAAAGUUUUUUUCUGCUUUGCACACUUUCAAGCUACAAUGGCUCAGUAAAAGGUCCAUUGUAUUUGGUCGUGCACCAGAUGGAAAGAUGACAAAAGGACCCUGGGCCUGUGACCAGAGCCCCAAAUUGAGGCAUUUGUCUCAACUGCAUGGCAGGUACUUACUCAGAGGGCCAGAGUCCUGAUCUCUCUACUCAAUGGCCAUGCACAGCAGGUCACCCACUCAGGAACUGGAGCUCACGGCAAACAACAAAAAGAAUAGGACUGACAACAGGACUUUGCACCCUAAGAGAGAUAAGCUCCCCAGGGCAACACUAAGGCAGAACCAGAGAGGAGAUGCCCCUGCUGAAAGCGCACAGUGCCUGUGAGUCCCAUCCAUCUGUGGCCGUGAUGGCUCAGCAAUAGUCCAUCAGAGCCCCACUAAAUGAAGGUCUUUAUGAACCAUGAGUCCAGAUGUGCAUGCAGAUCAAAUACUAAUAACAGAAAAAGCGUUUAAUAAGAGGAUCCACAUUUGUUUCUGGAAAGAAAAAAAAAACCCUUUGCAAAUGAAGAAAAAAAGGUAAAUUGUUAAACCUGAUAAGCUACAAAACAUGUAAAGCAGGCGUCAUAGUAAUAGUAAAAUAAUGAAAACAUUCCUACUAAAAUACAGAACCAAAGGAGGAUCACAUUUCUAUUCAAUAUUGGGGCUGUGGACAGAAUUGUGUUCCCCAAUGCACACUUGUUGAAGCCCUGAUCCCUGGAACUGAAAGAAGGUCUUUAAGCAGACAAUUAAGGUUUAAUGAGGUCUAGGGUAGAGCCCUAAUCCAAUAGCACUGGUGUCCUUAGAGGAAGAGAGAGAAUGACACGGGAUGUGUGCACAGAGUCAAGUCCACGUGAGAGCACAGUGAGAAGGAGCCCCUGCCAGCCAAGGAGGGAGGCCCAGAGGAACCCGCCCUGCCGGCUCCUUGAUCCCGACUUCCCAACUUCGGGAUGGUCACAGAAGAACUUCCUGUCAUCCAACCUGCCCAGUCAGCACAAGCAGACUAACAUAUUUGCCUUAGAGAUUUCUAGCUGCUCCAUAAGAGAAAAAAAUGUAUCAGGAGAUGAAAAAAAGAAACAAAACUAUCAUUAUUCUUAGGUUAUCUCUUUGUCUAUGUAAAUGCCCCAAAAUCAACAAUGGAAAAAUUACUAGACUCAAUAAGAAUUUGAAAUUAUAAGUUAUUCAUUUUAGUUGCUUAAUACAAAAACAAUAUUCCUGUGAGUGCACUCACCCUCCCGGUGAUUGGAUUUGCACUGCCAGGUAUCAGGAAUUAUGAUAAACCUCCAAAAUUAACACAGUGCAAAUUUGUACAGGCAGCUGCAUAUAGAUGUACAGUCAUGCAUCUGUUAAUGUACAGGAAGGCAUGGUUUAGCAUACAGGAAAUAUGUAAUAGCAGAACUAGCUUUCAAGAAAAAGUUGAGGUAGAAACAUUUCCAGGAAUAUGAGAACUGGAAGAGAUGACUACCACUCAUGCUUCAUUUUUAAAGUGUGUGUUUUUGGCAGGUGAAAAAUAACCUAGGAACCAUAGAUUGAAUGCAAGGGAAAGUGGAGUGGAGCAUAGGAGACAUAUAUAUAAAUUAAGUUACUUUAAUCAUAUAAAACACUAAAAAUAACUUAUAAUAAAUUUCAAAUUUAAGGUUAAAUAAAGAUAAAAUACUGGACAAAAUAGCAUAUUAAAGUGGACAGAAUCCAAGUGUUCCAAUAUCCUUGUAUUUGGGGAGUGGAGGGUAAGCUAUUACUUAGCCCUAAUCUUUGGGGCUAAAUUUCUAGGUAAUCUAGGAAUUUAAAGUAUUUAAUUUAUAUAUUAGUAGAAUGUUUAAAUGGAAUAAAGCGGUAACUUUUUUUCAAAGACAGGAAAGGAAAAAAUUAAACACACAAAAGAGAGAAAACUUCAAACCAUAAGAUCUUAGAAAUAAAUACAAAUGUGAUGUAUUUAUUGUAAUCACAAUAAACAGAAAUAACUAAGUUUAUCAGUUAAAUACAGAGAUUACCAACCAUAUUAAAAUUUUUUUAAUCCAGUUAUAUGCCAUUCACUAGAGCAUGCCACUGCAAAGCAGAAUUGAUCCAGACAGCAUUAUUAGUGCUUGGAGAGCAUUAUGUGUUGAUAAAGGCUUAAAACACCAGGAUAAUACACAAAUUUGAAAUUUGUUUAAUUUGAAAUUUGUUUAAUAACUUCAAAUAUAUAUAUAUAUAUAUACACAUAAAACAAUGGUCAGAACUACAAAGAGAAAUUAGUGGAAGAUUUUAACACACUUUUCUUUACAAUGUAUAAAUCAGUAAGAAUAUUGCAGAUUUAGUCAAAGCAAUUAAAAAGCAUUGCCUAAUGGACAUGUAUAGAACACUACACCAAAAUACUGGAGAAUAUGUGUUUUCACAUAUAAUAAACACCUAAUAGUAAGCAAAGCACUUUCCUGAGCUCUGUGAGUUCUAGUGAAUUAUCAAAUUCAAAGAGA